rnacentral:rRNA from 1 species
GACGAACCGUGCGAACGUUGUUCGGAUUCACUGGGCUUAAAGGGCGCGUAGGCGGGCCAUCAAGUCGGGGGUGAAAUCUUUCAGCUUAACUGGAAAAUAGCCUUCGAUACUGGUGGUCUGGAGGAAGGUAGGGGCAUGCGGAACUUCCGGUGGAGCGGUGAAAUGCGUAGAUAUCGGGAGGAACGCCAGUGGCGAAAGCGGCGUGCUGGACCUUUUCUGACGCUGAGGCGCGAAAGCCAGGGGAGCAAACGGG